CCCUUAGAUGUUCUGGGCCGCACGCGCGCUACACUGAUUCAUGCAACAAGUUUUGUCCUUGGCUGAUAGGCCUGGGUAAUCUUUGAACGUGAAUCGUGAUGGGGGUAGAUGAUUGCAAUUAUUCAUCUUCAACGAGGAAUUCCUAGUAAACGCAAGUCAUCAGCUUGCAUUGAUUACGUCCCUGCCCUUUGUACACACCGCCCGUCGCACCUACCGAUUGAAUGGUCCGGUGAAAUCUUCGGAUCUGAGAGAUGUCUGAUUAAUUUCGGACGCCUUUUGGAAAAGUUGUUUAAACCUUACCAUUUAGAGGAAGGUGAAGUCGUAACA
rnacentral:rRNA from 1 species